AGACCUGCACCCUCGCUGGCCGGAGACGGGCUGUGCCACGGAGCAGGGGUCCCACUGCCCACCAAGAGCCCUGCCUGCGAUGCAGCUCCUCCGGACCUGGAAGCUAAGUAUGUAUUUAAGUGCUCUGAUAUGCUGGAGGUCAUACUGUGACUUACUCUGCUCCUCAGUUUGCAUCCCCUUGAAGUUCACCACGUUUAGGCUCCGAGUGGUGCAGCAGUAGUGCCCGUGAAGAACCAAGCCGUGGUGCUCAUCCUGCAGCCCUGCACAGCCCUCCCUGAGCACGGCACUCACCUGCUUUAGCUUCAACGCAAUUUCACAGAGAAAUCAACAAUCAUUAAGUUCAGCGUCUCGCUCAGAGACCCCACAGCAGCUCUGUGGCAGGGUUAGGGCUCGUACACCAGCUGCUGAGAGCACGGAGGUCUGCGGGGUGCUGGGAGACUCUGCUUGUACCUUGAUGCCCCGAGGGGAUUGUUUUCACAGUCUAGCCCUUUUUGCUUCCAACAGGGUUUUAAAACAUGAAAAGGGCAAAUUUUCAAUACCACCCAGAGCCUCUAUUCUCAAAGGUAUUUAAGUGUGAAAAUGAAACUCUGAAUCCUGCUGAGGCCAGUGGUAAAUAAUAUCUUGUCUUCGCUGGACCUAGCAGCAAGAAGCCAUCUUCCUCUGACUUGUGGAAAUCAGAUAAACCCCCAAAAGCUGAAGAGAUUGACAAAAACUUCGUAGAUGGCUGCCUGCACGACUAUAUUUAAGUUUUGAAAAAACAAGGAUCUUGACUCAAUCUGCUACUAACCUUUAAUGCAGCGACAGACCGAGCACAAAGACCUUGCAGAAAAUUUUGCAGGCACCUAAAUUAUAUGCUUACAGUUUCAGAAGCAACUUGGGGAUUCAAUAAAUCAGCAUGGACUUUGUUCUUAAAUUAUCUAUAUGCUUUUGGAAUUCUUAGCACAGAUCCAAACUUCUCCGUAUUUUGAGGGAAGAGAUAUGGAACAAUGGAUUAAGAACUCUGGAGCCUUUCAUGCUAAAAAUGUUCCAAACCAUAUAUCCAAGCCCUUUUACUAUUAUCUACGUUGUACAUUAUGGUUGCCUCAGAUACCUUAGCAUGAAUUGAAGCUCUUUGGUUUUCUUGCCCUAUAAGAACAGAAAAUGCAGCUGCAAAUCCUGAGUUUGCAGUCUAAAUAAGCAAGUCAGAGAAAGAACAGAUAUUAUUCCCGUGUUAUUGGCAUGGAAAUAAGACAUAGGAAGAUUAAAUGACCAGCCCAAGGUCACAAAAGGAGUGUCUAGCAAAGGUGAGGUCUCAGCCUCAGUUUCUUAAGUCUAUGCCUGAUACUUUAGCCAUCCAUUCACUUGCUUUUUAAGUACCCUGUCAUUAUUUCUCUGAAGAAAAUUAUGCUACUCCUCCAGCAACCAGUACUGUGUAAUUCAGCUUGUCUGAAAGGGAAUAUGAAAUGGCAGUUUCAAGAAAAAUUAACCCUCCUGCCACACAAUCUGGCAGCCCUGUCAAAA